CGCCCGCCCCCCUCGGCUGUCCCUUGGCCCGGGGAGGGUAGCUGGGGCCCCUCCACCCCCCCACCCCACCCUGGGAUGCUGUCGGGGGGGAAGUUUUUAUUAUGGUUAUUUAAUUAAAAAAAAAUUUUUUUUUUGGAAAACCAUCUUGUUUGGUGACUGAGGGAUCUGGUUAAAAAAAAAAAAAAAAAAAAGCUGCGGCUGCUGACGCUGCCGGGCCCGAGUGUGUGUGUGUGUGUGUGUGUGUGUGUAUGUGUGUGUGAGUGUGAGUGUGUUGGUGCAUUUGUCUUGGGUGGCCGGAGCAGCGUUGGGGAAAUUCCGCUUAUUCUUCUUCUUCUGCAACUUGUUAUUCCGGAGAGUCUGCCUGCACCCCUCACCCUGGGGCCGGCCCUCCCGCAUUCGCCCCCGCCGCCGGCGGCCGCGGGGCGCCCCCGGGACCCCAAGCGGGCCGGGGCGGACAGGCCGUUCCGAGAGGGGCCGCGGCCGCCCCUCCCCCGCCCGCGCCCCCGCCGGGGGGAGGGGCGCGCGGAGUGGGACUCUUUCCGUUUGGUCCAGCCCCGUCGUGCACGCAGUUCCCAACACUUCUCGUCAUCCUCUCUUUGGUCUCUUUAUUCUGCUGAGCGGUGCUGUUAGGAUUUCUUUUUUUUUUUUUUUUUUCUCCCCCUGACCACGUUCGCAAUGGUGGGUAGCAGCAAGGUGGCCCUGUUAGGGGAGGGGUUGGUAUCGAGAUUGGGCACCGGGGGAGAACGUCUCCUUUCAACUUUGUCUGUGGCUUGCACCCCCGGAGAAGGCCACAGGCCGGUUGUGGGGUGCAGAUGUGCCGAGAGUGAUUUCUAAGUAGUUGAGUUGUUGUGAUGAGGAUACGACUGCUAAUGGUCGGCAGGUUUUGUUUUCAUUGGUGAAUCUGGUGUCAUCAUAUUCCGGUCAUAUGUUGAAAUAUUCUUUGUUUAGGUCUGGAAGUAGAGGAUCUCACUCUGCACGUCCACAUUGUGUUGUUUUUAAAAUGAUGUCUCUGGGAGUAUGGAUUUCUAGAAUUUCAAAUCUGAGUGAAGGUCCGGACUUGUGUGGGCCUCGUUACCUGGCCUUGACAGUGAACUUUGUGGGUGUGUUUCGGAUUUCAAAGAUUUGCCCCAUAGCUGGGGACCGAGUUGUGCAUUUUUGCUAAUAGUCGGUGUCAGGAAUGUAGAUGCUUGAGCUGGAGAAGUUAGAGAGGGAAGAACAUUUAUAUAUAAAUAAUGGGUAGUUGAAUAUUAGAAUCAGAUUAAUUUGGGCAGAUGAAAGUUUGUUUGUUUGUUUUAAAGCAGUUAUGCACUCUGGGAAGGAAGCCUUUUCACAGGUUCACUUGAUAGGGAUUCUUUAAGGCGAGGGGUUGGAAUUAUCUCCUUUUUGAGAGGAUUCUCAUCAACAUCUGUAGCUUUAUUGAGGGCCUGAUAAGGGUACUGAAAUUGGGGCUAAACCAUGUUAGCAUACUUUUCAGUAUUUAUGAUAUUUGUUUACAUCGGGUGUUCACUUUAAUUUGGGCAAUAGAAAUAAAUAGGUCAGCUUUGCUUUUGGCCUUUGAAGUCUGGCCCCCUCCUUCCUUCUUUAAGUUUCACAAUUUACUUGGUUUACAGCAUUGUUGGAAACUGUUACUACAUUUUUACUGGAAAUACUAUUAUUCAUUUUAAUUUUGGUAAGUUCCUUCUUAUUCUGUUCUUCUGUCUUCACUUGUUUAUGGAAUCUGUGUUGUGGGCUUAAGCUAGUUUAUUUUAGAAGGUCAUUAAAAAUGUCUGAAAAAUACAUUUUCAAAUCCGGGGACCUAUCUUUUGAUGGCAAAGAGGAAAUUUUGUGUGCAGUUAUACUAAUGUUUAUUUAAAAUAUUUCUGUACUUAAAACGUUUGUAGAUGUACAACUAUCCUUAAGUGAAGAGCAUAGUAAUAGUGCACAGAGUUCUCAAAGCACAAACAUCUGGCUAACAUGUUAAAAAUCUUCCAGGUGCUUUUGUUUUGUUUUUUAACAUCAGACUUUUGCUUUUGAUAACAUAAUAGUAUUUGCAGUUUGACUGGCAUUGCUUGACUGCCCAUAAUAAAGUUUUUUGCUUGGGUGCUAUUGAAGGCUUUUUAACUUAGUUUUUAGAUAAUUUUGCAGGCUUGAUGUAAGCAUGUUAUAUUUUGAACUCAGGCAAGUUGUUAUGGAACUGGAGUAGUAAUAGAUGAAAAAGACACCUACCUGGGCUAAUUGUAUUUUUAGAAGGUGUAAGUGAUGGAUGGGGCCUAUUUCUUUUAGCCUUGAAGGGUCCAUCCUUUUUCCUAUUCAGUCGUCUGGAAGGACCUGCCUCUGAAAUAUUCUUCUUCUGCUUACAUGAAGAUCUCUAAAUGCUAUCCAGCAGGAGGUGCUACAGCAAGAUAAAGGAUAUUUUUGAAUUUUGAGGGUCUUGCUACUUAUUACAGCUUGACUUAGCUUCAGCUAAGCAACAGGAUUAACACCUUAAAGUUCCAGAAAGAUUUUGAGGGGCUAGGGAGCUGAAGGAGAGCCAGUUUCCCCAAAAUUGGACUUCUCAGAACCUUUAAUAUGCUAAUGUGCAUUGUGAAUCUCCAAGAGGGGGAUAUGAUAUGCAGCAUUCUUGAAUACUUCUAAUGACAGGGAGCCCACUACCUCAUAAGCUGCAGUGAGAAGAGGAGUUUGUUACUUUAAACAGAGGCUGAAGAAACUAUAGAAUCAGCAGAGAAAGUGGAGAAGGUAGAGGAUGGAGUUGCAGACUCUACAGGAAGCUCUUAAAGUGGAAAUUCAGGUUCACCAGAAACUGGUUGCUCAAAUGAAGCAGGAUCCACAGAAUGCUGACUUAAAGAAACAGCUUCAUGAACUCCAAGCCAAAAUCACAGCUUUGAGUGAGAAACAGAAAAGAGUAGUUGAACAGCUACGGAAGAACCUGAUAGUAAAGCAAGAACAACCGGACAAGUUCCAAAUACAGCCAUUGCCACAAUCUGAAAACAAACUACAAACAGCACAGCAGCAACCACUACAGCAACUACAACAGCAGCAGCAGUACCACCACCACCACCCCCAGCAGUCAGCUGCAGCCUCUCCCAACCUGACUGCUUCACAGAAGACUGUAACUACAGCUUCUAUGAUUACCACAAAGACACUACCUCUCGUCUUGAAAGCAGCAACUGCGACCAUGCCUGCCUCUGUGGUGGGCCAGAGACCUACCAUUGCUAUGGUGACCGCCAUCAACAGUCAGAAGGCUGUGCUCAGCACUGAUGUGCAGAACACGCCAGUCAACCUCCAGACGUCUAGUAAGGUCACUGGGCCUGGGGCAGAGGCUGUCCAAAUUGUGGCAAAAAACACAGUCACUCUGCAGGUUCAGGCAACACCUCCUCAGCCCAUCAAAGUACCACAGUUUAUCCCCCCUCCUAGACUCACUCCACGUCCAAACUUUCUUCCACAGGUUCGACCCAAGCCUGUGGCCCAGAAUAACAUUCCUAUUGCCCCAGCACCACCUCCCAUGCUCGCAGCUCCUCAGCUUAUCCAGAGGCCCGUCAUGCUGACCAAGUUCACCCCCACAACCCUUCCCACAUCCCAGAAUUCCAUCCACCCCGUCCGUGUCGUCAAUGGGCAGACUGCAACCAUAGCCAAAACGUUUCCCAUGGCCCAGCUCACCAGCAUUGUGAUAGCUACUCCAGGGACCAGACUCGCUGGACCUCAAACUGUACAGCUUAGCAAGCCAAGUCUUGAAAAACAGACAGUUAAAUCUCACACAGAAACAGAUGAGAAACAAACAGAAAGCCGCACCAUCACCCCACCUGCUGCACCCAAACCAAAACGGGAGGAGAACCCUCAGAAACUUGCCUUCAUGGUGUCUCUAGGGUUGGUAACACAUGACCAUCUAGAAGAAAUCCAAAGCAAGAGACAAGAGCGAAAAAGAAGAACAACAGCAAAUCCGGUCUACAGCGGAGCAGUCUUUGAGCCAGAGCGUAAGAAGAGUGCAGUCACAUACCUAAACAGCACAAUGCACCCUGGGACCCGGAAGAGAGGUCGUCCUCCAAAAUACAAUGCAGUGCUGGGGUUUGGAGCCCUUACCCCAACAUCCCCCCAAUCCAGUCAUCCUGACUCCCCUGAAAAUGAAAAGACAGAGACCACAUUCACUUUCCCUGCACCUGUUCAGCCUGUGUCCCUGCCCAGCCCCACCUCCACAGACGGUGAUAUUCAUGAGGAUUUUUGCAGCGUUUGCAGAAAAAGUGGCCAGUUACUGAUGUGUGACACGUGUUCCCGUGUAUAUCAUCUGGACUGCUUAGACCCCCCUCUGAAAACAAUUCCCAAGGGCAUGUGGAUCUGUCCCAGAUGUCAGGACCAGAUGCUGAAGAAGGAAGAAGCAAUUCCAUGGCCUGGAACUUUAGCAAUUGUUCAUUCCUAUAUUGCCUACAAAGCAGCAAAAGAAGAAGAGAAACAGAAGUUACUUAAAUGGAGUUCAGAUUUAAAACAAGAACGAGAACAACUAGAGCAAAAGGUGAAACAGCUCAGCAAUUCCAUAAGUUCACCUGAGCGAGCGGGCCCAUCCACACGGCCCUCCCUUGCUCUUGCUUCCACACCAUGCUGAUUGCAUUUCCCGGUUUUCCUGACCAGUGUGAGGAAGUGGGCUUUCUAGAGACAAGUAUUGGAAAAAUGCAUGGAAAUGAAGAACACCAUCCUGGCCCGGCAGAAGGAGAUGCACAGCUCCUUGGAGAAGGUAAAACAGCUGAUUCGCCUCAUCCACGGCAUCGACCUCUCCAAACCUGUAGACUCUGAGGCCACUGUGGGGGCCAUCUCCAACGGCCCGGACUGCACCCCCCCUGCCAAUGCCGCCACCUCCACGCCGGCCCCUUCCCCCUCCUCCCAGAGCUGCACAGCGAACUGUAACCAAGGGGAAGAGACUAAAUAACAGAGCCCCUCUAGGAGAAGCCACAGGAUCCCGGCGGCAAGGAGAGCAGAACACUGAAGACUCUAGAAAAGCAAAGCCGGAUUUCCGGAAAGUGCAGAAUUCUUUUGGUUCUUUGGUUCCAGAGAGAGAGAAGAUGCUUGUGCCAGGUGGCACCAGAGUUUGCCAAUUGAUCCUUCUUAUUCUGUGUGUACAUGCAAAGAUUGGACCAUGUUACAUGAAAUAGUGCCAGCUGGAGGUUCUUUGCCAGCACCAUGCCAAGUGAAAUAAUAUAUUUACUCUCUCUAUUAUACACCAGUGUGUGCCUGCAGCAGCCUCCACAGCCACGAUGGGUUUGUUUCUGUUUUCUUGGGUGGGGAGCAGGGACGGGCGGAGGGAGGAGAGCAGGUUUCAGAUCCUUACUUGCCGAGCCGUUUGUUUAGGUAGAGAAGACAAGUCCAAAGAGUGUGUGGGCUUUCCUGUUUCUAAACUUUCGCUACUAUAAAACCAAAAAAAGGAAUUGAGAUUCAACCAACCCCAGUGCCCAGAAGAGGGAAUGGGAGUGGCUGGAGGGAGCCGGGGGUGGAACAGUGUAUCACAGAAGCAGUAUUUAAUCACGGCUGGCGGGGGCCUCGCAGGGGAGACUGACACCAAGGACAGCCAGUAGGUUCUUCUCCCCCGCGCUCUGCUCCCUCCCCGUGGGAACUCCCCAUCCUGAAGCCUGCCCAGCCUCCUUCCUUCCCUGCUUGGUGAAUCGCGCAUCCCCGUGUUAUCCCACUGUCUCCUCUCCAAGAACAAGCAGAGCCCAGGCCGCAGGCCCUUGCCUGGGGCAGGGAAGAAAGAUGUGUAUGUCCAGGAAGGAAAAAAGGUGGAUCAGUGAUUUUACUUGAAAACAAGCUCCAUCCCUUUUCUAUAUUUAUAAGAAGAGAAGAUCUUGAGUGAAGCAGCACGCGACCCAGGUGUGUGUGAAUUGAAUGGAGACAUUUCUUUUCUUUUUUUUUUUAAUUUUUGUUUUUGUUCUUUUUUUCUUUAAGGAAAGUUUUAUUUUAUUGUUCAUUUUACUUUCUUGGUAACAAAAACUAAAAUAAGGAAUAGAAAAGCUGUUUUUCAGGCUGACAGUCCAAUUAAGGGUAGCCGAGACCUUGCAUGGUAGAGUAGGAAUCAUAGUGUCAGUGAGGUCCCGUGAGUCUUUGUGAGUCCUUGUGUCAUCGUUCGGGCACUGGUUUUUUAUGCAAGGGCAAAAAUCUUUGUAUCUGGGGGAAAAAAAAAAAACAACUUUUUUUUAAAUUAAAAAGGAAAAUAAAAGAUAUUGAGGUCUUCCUAGUGUUACUUAAAUUAAGAUCAAGGUAAGAAACAUUGUAAAAAAAAAUUACAAAAGUGCUAUUUGUUUCCUAAAAACAGUGAUUUCUAUUAAAAAGGUGUCAGAACUGGAGAAAAUGCCGUGUAGUUAUAAUUUUUUAGCACAGACCCUGCUGAUGACGAUGACAUUUUGCCGUGUGUGUCUCUAGACUGUGGGCCAGUCUCCUUGACGGACAGGGUGGAGCUCCCCACCCUUCUCUCUCCUCAGAAAAGACCGUGCUCUCUUCUUGGUGCAGGGAUCUUGUCUCCUGUUGUGAAGCCCAAAUGGAAGUCUGGACGGUGUCAGGGCCCUCCCCGUGGUCUUCUUAGAUUCUGCUAGAGCAAAAGGCUGGUGCCUAAAUAAGAUCCCUUCCUUUGGUGCUGCUUUUGGUCUUUCAGCCACCAGCAUUAUGAGUGCCUGGGGGACACCUCCAAGGGAACUGGCCAGUGGAGCUCAGUGGUGCCCAUGCACCCUGGCUGUGGCAGGAGGGUGCGGGAGUGCAGGCUGGCUGCAUCAGCCCUUGGUGCUUAGAAAGAACAGAGGAGUGACAUGUCUCGAGGGUAUGUCUCUGAGACAGAGCCCCAAAGCUCUGUCUUGCUUUUGGGGAGAGGUCUGAAGCUCUCACUCCUUUCUCUGCCUGUUGGCUCCAGGCACCAGAAAUGGAAUUCAUUCCACUCCUCCCACCCACAAGUCUCCUGGGUGACCCUUGGCUAGAAUUGCUGCGCUUGCCUUGGCUUGGCCUGUUGUGGCCUCUCCUUCUUGAGAAAACCAGGGUUCUGAAAGGUUCAGACCAUUCUCUCAUCUUGCCUUGUGGGAAGUAAACGGUGUCAGAUGCGUGCUCUGGCUGGAGACCUUUGCCUCUUGCCUGCCCCUGGCUGAUGGCAGGGCAGUGGAGGCUCCGUACCCGGGCCCUGCUGGAGCAUCUCCCUGAAGCCCACUCCAGGCCCUGGUAACAGCCAGAGUCGGGGAGGGGUAGAAACGGUCCCAUUAGCUUCUCUCCCACCCAGUUAGGCCCAGAGAGACAAAGACAGAUCUGAAGGCAAAUUCAACAGAAAAGAGACGCUUCUUAGAGGAAAAUGUGUCUCAUCCAUAUCAGCUGUCGCCAUUCAUCUUCCCAAGGACCUCAGAAGAGGGAGUUAAGUUUGGCUGAACAGGCCUCAGUUAGGCCCUGGCUGCUUGAUUGGCUGACGGGGAGAGUUCCCUUUUCUCAGAAACCAAGGUGCUGUGCCUGGUCAGGGAGGCUUGGAGACGCCUGGACUAGUUGGAGGAAUCGGUGGCAGAGGAUCAGAGACCAGCAGCAGGCUGCCUGCCCUGUCUAGAGCUCUUCCCCUCAACUUGUCUGGGCCCAUCUAGGGGUUGCCGCAACAGUUAACUCUCCUUUUCCUGAAAGAAUUUGGGAAGCCAUCAUCACUAGAGGCCUUUGCUCGGAGAGGAGCUGCCUGAGGAGUCUCAGGGGUGGGGGGAUUAGGCUAGGAAUUGACCAGGGCUUUGCCUGCCGCCCUGAGCAGCGUGAGUACAUUCUGACCUCGCCUGCAGCUGGGCUGUGGAUUCUUCCUGACAUUCAGAUGUGAUCUGUUUUGGGAGCCAGCUAGUAUGGAGUGCAAGAUGCAAUCCUGCCCACAAACCUACAUUCUGGACUCAAAUUCCAAAACACUGCUUUACUGUAAAGAAGAGGCCCCCGGCACUCAAUCUCCCUGUCCUUCACUGUUCCCCCAGACUGCCAGAGACACACGCUCGUGACACUGCCCCACCCAGCCACCUCCACUUGCUUCCUCCUCCUUCCUUGCGCUGCUCUUUCCCCAUGGCCCAGAAUUUAGCUGCUCUGACAGCUACUUAUCUGAGACCAGCUGGCUUUGCAGUCACUUCAGAGAGCUGGAGUGGCUGCCCACUGGGCCCUGCCUGGGAGUCCCCUGCCAGCUCCUGAUCAGGCGCUGCGCCCUGGUGGCAGUGAGGUCAUGUUGCUGUCAUCUCCACCUCUGCAUUCUUGCUGCCUGCGGGUCCUUUUUCUUUCAUGGAGCCUGCUGGGUCUUGUCUCACCUGUGCUGAGCUCAUCGGGGUUUUGAUUUCUUCCUUCCUUAUUAGGCCCUUUGUGGUAAGCCUGCUGGUUGUACCUGACAGGGGUAGACAGCUACGGGCAGUCCCUGGUGGGGCCACCCUGGCAGCCUCCAGCUGGCACCAUCGUGUGCCUGGCUUCCCUGCAAGGCCUGUCUCUCUGUCCCUGCUGCUUGGCUCAGGCCCAGCGGGCAAGUGUGCAUGGCGCAGGUGCACACAGCUGUGUCUGUGCGGGUGGCCGUGUCUGCAGCACACUCUGUCUCCGCAUGCACGCUGGCUCUCCAGCCACCUCUGAUACUUCUCUCUUGGGGCUAAGAGCCCUUGGGCUUGGCCCUCCCAGCUCACACACACUCUUCAGAGGUUUCUUCCCUUCAUUCCCUUGUAGGGCGUGGUCCUUCUUAUUUAUCUAAAGGGCUGAAUUUAGAAGACUACCCAGAGGCAAAAGGCUCUUAAGGUGAUGGGAUGGAGCGUGGCCCGGGCAUCUUCCAGGGCCUGGGUCUCAGAUCCCGAGGCUUCUGUUGAGUGGAGGGAUCUUUGCUCUGUGUGGACCUCACCCCUGCCCUUAGCCAGGCACCCCUGGCAGGAAGCAGGGGUCUCAUCCUCACCCUGACUUAGACUGUCCUCCGAGUCAGCUCCUCUGGACAGUCUUCUGGCCCCCUCGCUAAAGUGAGGGGCAGGAAGCUGGGGCUGCCCUCCAGAAGCCGGGUAGGAACUCUGAAAAGUAGCUCCUGUAAACGGAAGCAGGGCUCCCCAGUUCCACUUGGCGCCCCCUCCCACAAGGCCCUUCCUCCCUGAGGACCCAGCCUCCCCCGCCCCGCCCGUCCCCAGCAGCCUUUGGGCCCUCACCUCUCCCCGGUCUCCGUGGGUCCUCAGUCCAGGUGAGCUGCAGCCAGGUGGUGGGGAUGGGCAGGCCAGAGGUCAGCCAGCUCCUAGCAGAGAAGAGCCAGCCAGACCCCAACCCUGUCUCUUGUCCAUGCCCUUUGUGAUUUCAGUCUUGGUAGACUUGUAUUUGGAGUUUUGUGCUUCAAAGUUUUUGUUUCUGUUUGGUUUUUGUUUUGAGGGGGUGGGGGGGAUACAGAGCAGCUGAUCAAUUUGUAUUUAUUUAUUUUAACAUUUUACUAAAUAAAGCCAAAUAAAGCCU